UUCCCCAGCCUCAAGGGGUAAGAUCUUGCCUCUAACAUCAGCUGGAGAGGCCCUCAGUUUACUGCAGGGACAAGCUCCUAAACUUCUUUCUCCACACCAGCACAGCCCUGGGGUAGGGUGGGGAGGUCCAUCCAUACCUAUUGUAUUCAGCUUUGAAAGGGCCUGCCCCAGCACUUGCAAGAGCCAACAUCGUUGUGGAGACAAGGCCUUCUUUCAACGGGCAUGCACCUUCCUCCUGUUAUGCUCAGCUUCACUCUCACCCACAGGGCAACUGUGGUGUUUGGCACGCGAGCUGAUGGACAUAGCUGGAUGCUGAUGAUUCAAACUGGAAAACUGACGUCUAACCUGAAUUAAGAAUGACGUGUAGCUGAAAUUCACCAAAGCAGAAAAUGUUUAAUGCAGACCAGGUGUCAAGCUUGUAUAGAUCUUGUCUUUUCAAGGGGUCUUCAUCUGUUGGUAGAUUACUACUAAGCAAGACUACAGAAGGAGGAUUCUGGCAGCCAGGGCCAUCCCCUGGGCUAGUUGUAAGUAAGAAGCUUUGAUUCUUGGCUUUGUUCAUCAACUCAAGAUCCAGUUCUGGCCUUCUGGCACAACUCCUGACAUCUGAUUCCUCACUUCUGUCUUGAUCAUGACAGCUGCCUUAGGGCUUGGUCCUGGCAACCAGUCCAUCCAUACAGAUGCCACCUUGCUAUCCCUUCUGAGUUACAAGUCCACCAAAGGCCCUGCAUCUCCUUGAGCGUCACGAUCUCCUGAAGGCCAAGCAGUGUCUCUAUUUGCAAAAAUAUGUUUGUCACAUUCGCAUUUAACAUUUUUUGGUCUGCGCUCAAAACAAGUAUAUGCCUAAAAUGUAAUGCAUUAAGCAUUUAUUGGGAAGGACUUUUUUACUGUAGGAAUGGUUGAGGAAUUUGAUUUCUGUGAAUUUGCCUGAUUUGCACCUUAUGGAGUAGAAUGCAGCUUGGAACAUAAUCAUCCUUGAGAUCUCACACUUAUAGAAUCAUAGAAUAGGGCCUACAAGGCCAUCGAGUCCAACCCCCUGCUCAAUGCAGGAAUCCAAAUCAAAGCAUUUCCGACAGAUGGCUGUCCAGCUGCCUCUUGAAUGCCUCCAGUGUCGGAGGAUUCUGGAUUCUGUGAUAUAGUUC